UGAGGAAUAUUGGUCAAUGGGCGAGAGCCUGAACCAGCCAAGUCGCGUGAAGGAAGACAGUCCUAAUGAUUGCAAACUUCUUUUAUACGGGAAUAACGGGCGAUACGAGUAUUGCAUUGAAUGUACCGUAAGAAUAAGCAUCGGCUAACUCCGUGCCAGCAGCCGCGGUAAUACGGAGGAUGCGAGCGUUAUCCGGAUUUAUUGGGUUUAAAGGGUGCGUAGGUUGUUCGGUAAGUCAGCGGUGAAACCUGGGCGCUCAACGUUCAGCCUGCCGUUGGAACUGCCGGGCUUGAAUUCAGUUGCGGCAGGCGGAAUUCGUGGUGUAGCGGUGCAAUGCAUAGAUAUCACGAGGAACUCCGAUUGCGAAGGCAGCUUGCCAUACUGCGAAUGACACUGAAGCACGAAGGCGUGGGUAUCAAACAGG
rnacentral:rRNA from 1 species